rnacentral:rRNA from 1 species
UUAAGCGACUAAGCGUACACGGUGGAUGCCCUGGCAGUCAGAGGCGAUGAAGGACGUGCUAAUCUGCGAUAAGCGUCGGUAAGGUGAUAUGAACCGUUAUAACCGGCGAUUUCCGAAUGGGGAAACCCAGUGUGAUUCGUCACACUAUCAUUAACUGAAUCCAUAGGUUAAUGAGGCGAACCGGGGGAACUGAAACAUCUAAGUACCCCGAGGAAAAGAAAUCAACCGAGAUUCCCCCAGUAGCGGCGAGCGAACGGGGAGCAGCCCAGAGCCUGAAUCAGUGUGUGUGUUAGUGGAAGCGUCUGGAAAGGCGCGCGAUACAGGGUGACAGCCCCGUACACAAAAAUGCACAUACUGUGAGCUCGAUGAGUAGGGCGGGACACGUGGUAUCCUGUCUGAAUAUGGGGGGACCAUCCUCCAAGGCUAAAUACUCCUGACUGACCGAUAGUGAACCAGUACCGUGAGGGAAAGGCGAAAAGAACCCCGGCGAGGGGAGUGAAAAAGAACCUGAAACCGUGUACGUACAAGCAGUGGGAGCACAGAGCAAUCUGUGUGACUGCGUACCUUUUGUAUAAUGGGUCAGCGACUUAUAUUCUGUAGCAAGGUUAACCGAAUAGGGGAGCCGAAGGGAAACCGAGUCUUAACUGGGCGUUAAGUUGCAGGGUAUAGACCCGAAACCCGGUGAUCUAGCCAUGGGCAGGUUGAAGGUUGGGUAACACUAACUGGAGGACCGAACCGACUAAUGUUGAAAAAUUAGCGGAUGACUUGUGGCUGGGGGUGAAAGGCCAAUCAAACCGGGAGAUAGCUGGUUCUCCCCGAAAGCUAUUUAGGUAGCGCCUCGUGAAUUCAUCUCCGGGGGUAGAGCACUGUUUCGGCAAGGGGGUCAUCCCGACUUACCAACCCGAUGCAAACUGCGAAUACCGGAGAAUGUUAUCACGGGAGACACACGGCGGGUGCUAACGUCCGUCGUGAAGAGGGAAACAACCCAGACCGCCAGCUAAGGUCCCAAAGUCAUGGUUAAGUGGGAAACGAUGUGGGAAGGCCCAGACAGCCAGGAUGUUGGCUUAGAAGCAGCCAUCAUUUAAAGAAAGCGUAAUAGCUCACUGGUCGAGUCGGCCUGCGCGGAAGAUGUAACGGGGCUAAACCAUGCACCGAAGCUGCGGCAGCGACGCUUAUGCGUUGUUGGGUAGGGGAGCGUUCUGUAAGCCUGCGAAGGUGUGCUGUGAGGCAUGCUGGAGGUAUCAGAAGUGCGAAUGCUGACAUAAGUAACGAUAAAGCGGGUGAAAAGCCCGCUCGCCGGAAGACCAAGGGUUCCUGUCCAACGUUAAUCGGGGCAGGGUGAGUCGACCCCUAAGGCGAGGCCGAAAGGCGUAGUCGAUGGGAAACAGGUUAAUAUUCCUGUACUUGGUGUUACUGCGAAGGGGGGACGGAGAAGGCUAUGUUGGCCGGGCGACGGUUGUCCCGGUUUAAGCGUGUAGGCUGGUUUUCCAGGCAAAUCCGGAAAAUCAAGGCUGAGGCGUGAUGACGAGGCACUACGGUGCUGAAGCAACAAAUGCCCUGCUUCCAGGAAAAGCCUCUAAGCAUCAGGUAACAUCAAAUCGUACCCCAAACCGACACAGGUGGUCAGGUAGAGAAUACCAAGGCGCUUGAGAGAACUCGGGUGAAGGAACUAGGCAAAAUGGUGCCGUAACUUCGGGAGAAGGCACGCUGAUAUGUAGGUGAAGUCCCUCGCGGAUGGAGCUGAAAUCAGUCGAAGAUACCAGCUGGCUGCAACUGUUUAUUAAAAACACAGCACUGUGCAAACACGAAAGUGGACGUAUACGGUGUGACGCCUGCCCGGUGCCGGAAGGUUAAUUGAUGGGGUCAGCGCAAGCGAAGCUCUUGAUCGAAGCCCCGGUAAACGGCGGCCGUAACUAUAACGGUCCUAAGGUAGCGAAAUUCCUUGUCGGGUAAGUUCCGACCUGCACGAAUGGCGUAAUGAUGGCCAGGCUGUCUCCACCCGAGACUCAGUGAAAUUGAACUCGCUGUGAAGAUGCAGUGUACCCGCGGCAAGACGGAAAGACCCCGUGAACCUUUACUAUAGCUUGACACUGAACAUUGAGCCUUGAUGUGUAGGAUAGGUGGGAGGCUUUGAAGUGUGGACGCCAGUCUGCAUGGAGCCGACCUUGAAAUACCACCCUUUAAUGUUUGAUGUUCUAACGUUGACCCGUAAUCCGGGUUGCGGACAGUGUCUGGUGGGUAGUUUGACUGGGGCGGUCUCCUCCUAAAGAGUAACGGAGGAGCACGAAGGUUGGCUAAUCCUGGUCGGACAUCAGGAGGUUAGUGCAAUGGCAUAAGCCAGCUUGACUGCGAGCGUGACGGCGCGAGCAGGUGCGAAAGCAGGUCAUAGUGAUCCGGUGGUUCUGAAUGGAAGGGCCAUCGCUCAACGGAUAAAAGGUACUCCGGGGAUAACAGGCUGAUACCGCCCAAGAGUUCAUAUCGACGGCGGUGUUUGGCACCUCGAUGUCGGCUCAUCACAUCCUGGGGCUGAAGUAGGUCCCAAGGGUAUGGCUGUUCGCCAUUUAAAGUGGUACGCGAGCUGGGUUUAGAACGUCGUGAGACAGUUCGGUCCCUAUCUGCCGUGGGCGCUGGAGAAUUGAGGGGGGCUGCUCCUAGUACGAGAGGACCGGAGUGGACGCAUCACUGGUGUUCGGGUUGUCAUGCCAAUGGCACUGCCCGGUAGCUAAAUGCGGAAGAGAUAAGUGCUGAAAGCAUCUAAGCACGAAACUUGCCCCGAGAUGAGUUCUCCCUGACUCCUUGAGAGUCCUGAAGGAACGUUGAAGACGACGACGUUGAUAGGCCGGGUGUGUAAGCGCAGCGAUGCGUUGAGCUAACCGGUACUAAUGAACCGUGAGGCUUAACCUU